CCUUUCUCCAGGAGACAUAAGGAGAACGUGACUAUGGGCCUGGAAGGCUUAGCUAGCCAUGUGGCUGGAUGGUUCUAGGUAGUCGGGUUAACUUAGAUGAGUAGUUGAGAGUCUGCCUAGCUGAGGUCUAAGGCUUUGAAAUGUUAAAAAGGUCUUUGUAUGGUUAUUUGGGGAACUAGCUGGUUAAGUAAUACUUGCCACUGUGCUCAUUUCUAGCAUUAAUUAAUAGAUACAGAAUUAAUAAUCAUUUUACACUGGCAGACUUCAGGAGCGCUGUGGUAUGAGUGGAAUGGGGCAGUAAGAUUAAAGAUGAGGCUUUUAAGAGGACUCUCAUGAAUGAGAUUACUAUUCCUUAGAAAAGGGCAGAGGGAGCAUGCAUGGGCCUUUCUGCCAUGUGAGGACAAACCUACAAGUUAAAGGAAGAGUGUCAUCAGACAUUGGCUGACCUCAGUCUGGACUUCCAGUGACACCUGGUAACAGACAAUAGAUGCCAUUUACCAAAAAUAAGGAACCAACAGCCUUGAUGUGGAUCAGGAUUGUAGUAAUGUCACGAUGUGGAUCAGGAUUGUAUUAAUGUCUUGGAGGAAUGCUAGUUCUUCUGACAUUCCCUAGUGUCCACCUGCCCCAUUCCUGGGGAUUUGCAACUACUCUUCCAGCAAAAGCUAUGGAAGGGGCAGGUCCUGCCCCCAGCACUCCAUGCCUUCCAGCUCCCUCAUCUUGAGAGCAUCCCAUCAUACUUACCAUGAUGGUGUGUUCGGGGAAUUUGGAUCGGACCAGUUUCACGAAUUCCACAAAAUGUUCCGAAUACCCAUUGGCCACAUCCAGGCAGAUGAACUUCACCUGAGGCACAGUUUCCAAGAUGCGGCUCAUCUUCUCAAGAUCAUUCUGCCCGCUGCCAGAACUCACAGCUAUAUGCUGUGGCAAAGUGUAACACAGACAACAGCCAUGAACAGUAGGACUCAAAGGAAGACCCUCCCUCCAUCCGGCAGCCCUCCAAGGUCUACCCUGAGCAAACACAGAGGCUCUGUUCAAACAGCAGUAGAGGUAAAAGAGACCUGCUCCUUCCAUGAUCUAAAUUCAUGGUUUUUUUCCUACCCUUGACUUAAUAUCCAUCCUUGAGCCUGGGUCUUGGCAACAAAACCUCAUAGUAAACAGAUUCUGAAAUACUCAGAAGACCUUCACAGAA